rnacentral:rRNA from 1 species
UAGGGAAUUUUGCGCAAUGGACGAAAGUCUGACGCAGCAAUACCGUGUGUGGGAAGAAGCUCUGUGGAGUGUAAACCACUGUCGGCAGGGACGAAUUAAUGACUGUACCUGCAAAGGAAGCACCGGCUAACUCUGUGCCAGCAGCCGCGGUAAUACAGAGGGUGCAAGCGUUGUCCGGAUUUAUUGGGCGUAAAGCGUCUGUAGGCGGCUUUUCAAGUCCGAAGUGAAAGAGUGGAGCUCAACUCCAUACCCGCUUUGGAAACUGAAGAGCUAGAGAAUGUUAGAGGUAAGUGGAAUUCCAAGUGUAGCGGUGAAAUGCGUAGAUAUUUGGAGGAACACCAGAGGCGAAAGCGGCUUACUGGGACAUUUCUGACGCUGAGAGACGAAAGCCAGGGGAGCG